rnacentral:rRNA from 1 species
UGAUCCUGGCUCAGAACGUACGCUGGCGGCACGCCUAACACAUGCAAGUCGAACGAAGUAGCAAUACUUAGUGGCAGACGGGUGAGUAACAUGUAGGUAUCUGCCCUUUGGCCUGGAAUAACACGAGGAAACUUGUGCUAAUACCGGAUAAGUCUUUACGGAGAAAGCUUUAUGCACCAUUGGAUGAGCCUGCACUUGAUUAGCUUGUUGGUGGGGUAAUGGCCUACCAAGACUGUGAUCAAUAGCUGAUUUGAGAGGAUGAUCAGCCACAUUGGGACUGAGACACGGCCCAAACUCCUACGGGAGGCAGCAGUGGGGAAUCUUGCACAAUGGAGGAAACUCUGAUGCAGCGAUGCCGCGUGAGUGAAGAAGGCCCUUGGGUUGUAAAGCUCUUUCGUCGGGGAAGAAAAUGACUGUACCCGAAUAAGAAGGUCCGGCUAACUUCGUGCCAGCAGCCGCGGUAAUACGAAGGGACCUAGCGUAGUUCGGAAUUACUGGGCUUAAAGAGUUCGUAGGUGGUUGAAAAAGUUAGUGGUGAAAUCCCAGAGCUUAACUCUGGAACUGCCAUUAAAGCUUUUCAGCUAGAGUAUGAUAGAGGAAAGCAGAAUUUCUAGUGUAGAGGUGAAAUUCGUAGAUAUUAGAAAGAAUACCAAUUGCGAAGGCAGCUUUCUGGAUCAUUACUGACACUGAGGAACGAAAGCAUGGGUAGCGAAGAGGAUUAGAUACCCUCGUAGU